GACGAACGCUGGCGGCGUGCCUAAUACAUGCAAGUCGAACGCUCCUUUCCUCCCGAGUGCUUGCACUCAAUUGGAAAGAGGAGUGGCGGACGGGUGAGUAACACGUGGGUAACCUACCCAUCAGAGGGGGAUAACACUUGGAAACAGGUGCUAAUACCGCAUAACAGUUUAUGCCGCAUGGCAUAAGAGUGAAAGGCGCUUUCGGGUGUCGCUGAUGGAUGGACCCGCGGUGCAUUAGCUAGUUGGUGAGGUAACGGCUCACCAAGGCCACGAUGCGUAGCCGACCUGAGAGGGUGAUCGGCCACACUGGGACUGAGACACGGCCCAGACUCCUACGGGAGGCAGCAGUAGGGAAUCUUCGGCAACGGACGAAAGUCUGACCGAGCAACGCCGCGUGAGUGAAGAAGGUUUUCGGAUCGUAAAACUCUGUUGUUAGAGAAGAACAAGGACGUUAGUAACUGAACGUCCCCUGACGGUAUCUAACCAGAAAGCCACGGCUAACUACGUG
rnacentral:rRNA from 1 species